GAUGAAGAACGCAGCGAAAUGCGAUAAGUAAUGUGAAUUGCAGAAUUCAGUGAAUCAUCGAAUCUUUGAACGCACAUUGCGCCCGCCAGCAUUCUGGCGGGCAUGCCUGUUCGAGCGUCAUUUCAACCCUCGACUUCCCUUUGGGGAAGUCGGCGUUGGGGACCGGCCGUAUACCGCCGGCCCCGAAAUGAAGUGGCGGCCCGUCCGCGGCGACCUCUGCGUAGUAAUCCAACUCGCACCGGAACCCCGACGUGGCCACGCCGUAAAACCCCCGACUUCUGAACGUUGACCUCGGAUCAGGUAGGAAUACCCGCUGAACUUAAGCAUAUCAAUAAGCGGAGGA
rnacentral:misc_RNA from 1 species